UACAGAGGUGGCAAGCGUUGUUCGGAAUUACUGGGCGUAAAGGGCGCGUAGGCGGCUUUUUAAGUCAGACGUGAAAUCCCCCGGCUUAACCUGGGAACUGCGUCUGAUACUGGGAAGCUUGAGUUCGGGAGAGGGAUGUAGAAUUCCAGGUGUAGCGGUGAAAUGCGUAGAUAUCUGGAGGAAUACCGGUGGCGAAGGCGGCAUCCUGGACCGAAACUGACGCUGAUGCGCGAAAGCUAGGGGAGCAAACGGG
rnacentral:rRNA from 1 species